rnacentral:lncRNA from 1 species
UUCAGUUUGCUUUGCUAAUAACAUUUUCCCGCUACAUUAUACAAAGGUACAAACGAACCCAUUCGUCUUCAAUCCCUAAUUUCUCCCUCACCUUCAACAAUGGAGGUUCCUACAGAGCCAAAGACGACACUGGGAUCUAUAUACCGACAAGGUCAAGGAUUUCUCAGUGUUCUUUUUCUUUAUCCCUGGCUAUUUUCUUCCCAUACCUUCGCUGACUGAGUUUGUUUUUUUGUUUGCUGCUAAUAUUCAUCUAAAUAUCACAAAUCUGUUUUCUUUUCUUUUUUUUUUUGUUUCCUUUUUCUUGUUGGAGUAAUACGAACAGGUAAAAUAUUGUAUCGCUUCAAAAUGUUACUUUCGAUUUUAAAAAUGUGCUAAGUUUCGAGUGUUUCUUCCCUUUGAAGUUUAUAUUAAACUAACCUC